AAUCAACGCUGGCGGCGUGCCUCAGACAUGCAAGUCGAACGAUUAAAGCUCUCUUCGGAGAGUGUAUAGAGUGGCGCACGGGUGAGUAACACGUAAGUAAUCUACCCUCGAGUGGGGAAUAACGUCCGGAAACGGACGCUAAUACCGCAUAAUGCAGCGGCACCGCAAGGUGACAGUUGUUAAAGAUUUAUCGCUUGAGGAGGAGCUUGCGGCAGAUAGCUAGUUGGUAAGGUAAUGGCUUACCAAGGCUACGAUCUGUAACCGGUCUAAGAGGACGGUCGGUCACACUGACACUGAAUAACGGGCCAGACUCCUACGGGAGGCAGCAGUCGGGAAUUUUGGGCAAUGGGCGAAAGCCUGACCCAGCAACGCCGCGUGAAGGAU
rnacentral:rRNA from 1 species